rnacentral:rRNA from 1 species
ACGAAGGGUGCAAGCGUUAAUCGGAAUUACUGGGCGUAAAGCGCGCGUAGGUGGUUAGGUAAGUUGGAUGUGAAAGCCCUGGGCUCAACCUGGGAACUGCAUCCAAAACUGCUUGGCUAGAGUACGGUAGAGGGUAGUGGAAUUUCCUGUGUAGCGGUGAAAUGCGUAGAUAUAGGAAGGAACACCAGUGGCGAAGGCGACUACCUGGACUGAUACUGACACUGAGGUGCGAAAGCGUGGGGAGCAAACAGGA